GAUGAACGCUGGCGGCGUGCCUAAUACAUGCAAGUCGAGCGAACAGAUGAGGAGCUUGCUCCUCUGACGUUAGCGGCGGACGGGUGAGUAACACGUGGAUAACCUACCUAUAAGACUGGGAUAACUUUGGGAAACCGGAGCUAAUACCGGAUAAUAUAUUGAACCGCAUGGUUCAAUAGUGAAAGACGGUUUUGCUGUCACUUAUAGAUGGAUCCGCGCCGCAUUAGCUAGUUGGUAAGGUAACGGCUUACCAAGGCAACGAUGCGUAGCCGACCUGAGAGGGUGAUCAGCCACACUGGAACUGAGACACGGUCCAGACUCCUACGGGAGGCAGCAGUAGGGAAUCUUCCGCAAUGGGCGAAAGCCUGACGGAGCAACGCCGCGUGAGUGAUGAAGGUCUUCGGAUCGUAAAACUCUGUUAUUAGGGAAGAACAAAUGUGUAAGUAACUAUGCACGUCUUGACGGUACCUAAUCAGAAAGCCACGGCUAACUACGUG
rnacentral:rRNA from 1 species